rnacentral:rRNA from 1 species
ACAUCCAAGGAAGGCAGCAGGCGCGCAAAUUACCCACUCUCAAAACGAGGAGGUAGUGAAGAGAAAUAACGAUGUUAGUCUAUUAUAGGCUGACAAUCGGAAUGGGAACACUGUAAACAGGUUAUCGAUUAACAAUUGGAGGGCAAGUCUGGUGCCAGCAGCCGCGGUAAUUCCAGCUCCAAUAAGGAAAACUAAAGUUGCUGUGUUUAAAAAGCUCGUAGUUGAAUUUCGGGUAUUUGUUGCUAGCUGGUCUUACUGGCCAUGUUGGUUAACAGAUCCUCAUUUGCUGGACGGCUGGCGAUGAUCUUUAUCGAUUGUCGUUAGUUGCCAGAACGUUUACUUUGAGAAAAUUAGAGUGCUAAAAGCAGGCUCACGCCUAUAUAUAUUGCAUGGAAUAAUGAAAUAAGAUCUCGAUUUUAUUUCGUUGGUUUUAGAAAUUGAGAUAAUGAUUAAUAGGAUCAGAGGGGGGCGUACGUACUGUGGUGUGAGAGGUGAAAUUCUUGGAUCGCCACAGGACGAACAGCAGCGAAGGCGUUCGCCAAGAAUGUUUUCAUUAAUCAAGAACGAAAGUUUGAGGUUCGAAGACGAUUAGAUACCGUCCUAGUUCAAACCAUAAACGUUGCCAACUGUCUUUUAGAUGCGGUUAUUUACAUGACUCAUCUGGCGGAUCUCGAGAAAUCUAAGUUUUUAGGUUCCGGGGGAAGUAUGGUUGCAAAGCUGAAACUUAAAGAAUUGACGGAAGGA